UUUGUGGCUAUCCACAGCACCCACCUCCCAUACCCCAAGCCAAGUAAAUGAAUACAAGUAAUGAACUAUCCUUACCUUGAAUGUGGAGUGUUGGGAGCAAAGUUUGUGUGUGCAUGUGUGUGUUUCAGUCCUGUCGGGAUAUGAGGCAGUUCAGGACAAGUUCACAUUGAAUAUGAUUGAGAAAUCUUGCAAAUAAUGUAAUUUAAGAGUAACACUGAAUUAAGACAGUUCACACAGAGCCCUGAAAAAUAUUGGGCUGAUGUCACAACAAGAAAUCCCUGUGAUUAUCCAACACAUCCCUCAGUCUUCUCUGGUACUUCUCUGAUCAAACCAAAUCCAAUAUUUCCUCUUGAGUCACAACAGUGCAGAAAUCAAUUGGCUCAAUGGUUGAAUAAAGAUGCCAUAGUAUGAUGGAAGUGUGGAGUCAA